rfam:Pelodiscus sinensis unplaced genomic scaffold scaffold5831, whole genome shotgun sequence.
GGCACCAUGGCUUAUCUGGCUAAAGUGUUUGCCUAGUAAACAGGGGAUCUUGGGUUCAAUUACUGGUGGUGCCU